UCGGUCCUUAGUUCUGCAAAACAGAAAAAGCAAAAAGCAAAUAUGGAAGGAUAUGAAACUUGAGAUUUAUCGACGAAGCCGGUUGGAGGUUUGAGACUCGCUCACUCACAGACAUGCUGAAGAUGCUGCGGACGACCACAAUUGCUUCUCCCUUGAAGGUUGGUUAUGGCAUCGGCAGCAGACAGAGAGUGAAAGUGAGGGGUAUGCCACCUGUGCCUUGUUUUCUUCUUCAUAAAUCAACUACUUUUCUAUUCUUCAACAAUUACUUGGCUCCGUUUCACUCUCGACCUUCUUAUCCAACCAAAUCUGCAAAAACCCAAUUGCUUCAGCGUGUUAAAGUAACUAAUCUUGAGGAUGCACUCCAUGUGUUCGACGAAAUGCUUCAAAUGCAUCCUCUGCCUACCAUUGCACAUUUCACUCAAAUCUUGACUCAAGUCGCUAAUUUAAAAUCUUGACUCAAGUCGCUAAGUUAAAACAUAAGAUCCAUACUCAUCCCACUGUCACUCAUCACGUUUUCUUCCGAGCAAACUGCAACCUCCGCGUAGUUAUGCGAAAAUCUAGUUCAGGACCCCAACCACCAUUCUCAUCCUUUGCGGCUCUUCUUUUCUUCCAGCAGCUGAAAUGCCGCCGCUCGAUGAAUGGCUAGGAAGCACCUGCUGACCGUCGAUAGAAAGUAGUCAAGCCAUUCUCAAGCGAUUUACAGGGACGAAAACCGUGUGAAGAUUCUGAAUUUUGGUGUUUGUUUGGGAAGCUUCACAAUGUUUGACUAAAAAACAACUCAUCACAUAUGAAAGAACUUCUGCCCCAUUACACAUCCACUCUACUUUUCAUUAAGAGCAACUCCACCCUUGGUGGUUGCUCGGGGACAGGCGAAGGGAAAGGGCCCGAGGGCCAAUGGAUAGGCCUCCAGCCUUGGGCAGCCCGAGUGAAUGUGGAAGCCCGAGGGCCAGGCCUGUGGAGAAUUGACAAGCAUGCAGCCCGAGUUGUGUGUGCUUUUUUAAUUUUUUUUUGUGUCAGGCGCGCGCCCCUCACUUGCGAGUGGGGGCGCAUCAACCGACAAGUUUACAGGGCACAGGGCCCGCACACCAGGAAAUGUAGUGACUGUUGGAAAACCACGUGGCUUCCCAUGGUCCGUUCGAUCCCAACGGCUCUUUAAUACGAGCCAUCCGA